CCAGACUCCUGCUCUUCCACCGAUUGGCUGGGUAUCAUCUUCGACCACCAGGGGGCCUCCGGUCCAGACCAGGACCACAGAGCGGACCUACACCGUCUCUGUUCUGGACCUGGAUGGGGAGGGGGACCGCGGCUUGGAGGAGGUGAUGAAGACCACCAAGAUCAUCAUCGGUUGCUUUGUGGCCAUCACGCUCAUGGCCGCCGUCUUGCUGGUCAUUUUCUACAAGAUGAGGAAGCAGAACCACCAGCAGGACCCCGAUGGCCCCGCCUCCUCAAUGGAGGUCAUCACAGUGGAGGAGGAGCUCGCCGGUGUCGCUGCCAUGGAGACCCACUUACACCUGCCUCCAUUGGAGCAUUACAACCAUUACAACACUUACAGGAGCACCUACCACCACUCCCACACACAGGAACCUUUACUGAUUCAAGCCAGCUCAAAAGACAAUGUGCAAGAGACCCAAAUUUGAUUGAGAUUCACUAGAGGAAUCCGAUAUCAGCUAUCUCAUACAGGAAGUAUCAUGGACAGAAGGGUAAGGAUUAGUGUGGGAAUGACUUGACACUGACUUGACUGAUGAUGUUAACGAUCAAAUGGAUCAACAUCUUUCAAAAUGUGUGUGCUAUUUGAAAAAGUGUCUUUACAAAACAGAAAUUAUUUAUUUAAAAAAUAUAUGUCUUGUGGCUAAAUCAAGAAAAACAAAUCUGAAUGAGCUUUUUAGCUCCAAUUUUAUUUCACCUCUGUGUGAUGUUGGGGGAAGAAUGGUUCACUGCAAACUCAUCUACUCAAAUGAAUUCUCUACAUUCAAACCAUGUUCGGAUCCUUUCCAAAUAUGAGUGCAGCAACAGAAUAGAUUAACACAGCUUCCAUUUGACGAUAGGGCCAUUUCAGAUGAAAAUAUAAUACUGCCUUGUUUGUGAAUUUUUAUCAAAAUGUUUGAAGGUCAUUAUAAUAUCCCAGAUGCCCUGGUGUUUUCCUAAUUCCUUUGGAUAUAUUCACAGCCCUCGCAUAUUAUCACAGCUACAUUACAUAAAACUGAUGAAGAGGGAGGAUCCUCAUAUUACACUGUACCCUUCCUGUCACUCAAAUUAGAUGACAUACAGAUGUUCCCAUGACUUGGCUGUUAAUGAAAUGAGCAAUGAGGCCAACAUGCCUCGGGAACCAGACGGCCAAAUGACUGAACAUGCAUUUUCCCGGCUCCUAAUCAACAACUAUACAUCCUUGACUUAAAUUAAGAUGAAGGUCUCUCUCCCCCCUCGCUCCCUCCCUCCUUCCCCUCUCCUAUCACACUCUCGCUCUCUUCUCUCUCUCCCUCCUCUCACACUGUAUCUCUUUCACUCUAUCACUCUCCACCUCCUACCUCCCCUCUCUCUUUUCUCCUCUCUCUCUCUCUCUCUCUCUCACUCUCAUUCUUCCAACCCCUCUCCUUCACCUCUCAUCCUACUCUCUCCCUCCCCUUUCUCCUUUGCUCAUCCUCCUCUCUUACACUCUCCUCUCUCUUCUCCUCUCUCUUUCUCUGGCACAUUCAUCUCUCCUCUCGACAUAUCUCAUUUGUCUCUCUUUAGACAUGGGGGGAAUGGCAGUGCAGCAGAAGAUGUGGGAGAAUGAAGGGGAGGCUCCACGGCCCUACGGUAAUGUGUUAAUGAUCUAGAUCAGCAGCACUGUCGCGUUACCUUGGUAUCACCCUAGGGUCACAGACGCUCGUGGGCUGAUAGCCCGUCUGUUAGUGCAGAUAAAGCUCGCAUGUAAUUCAGCGUGAUCCUGGUCGGCCAACACAGGGGGCUAACCGUCUGUACUGUCAGUCUGUAGUAAACAGGGAGGUGUAAUCGCUCAUUAAACUGCAUCAGCAGUCCAUUUGUAGGCUUCUAGAUGAGCUAGAGGAGAAGUUGAUACAGCAAACAGCUUGAAAACUCCAACCCGUAUCCCUUUACACAGCAGCUAAUGGAGAAGCUAGUCUUCUGAUUUCUGAGAGGUUCCUACUCUGAUCUUCUCGGCCAUGUUUGUCAGGGAAAAUACACAAGCCAAGGCCUUUUGAUGGCGCCUCUCUCAUCGUCUAUCUAUCACAACACAGGGUUGUCUUUUCUCUGCUCUGUUUACACGGUGCAUUUCAUUUGGUAGUUGAGUGAAGGAGGGAGGAAGGGAGGGAAAGAGGAAAGGAGGGAGGGGUUUGGCCCAUGAUGGCCAUGGGGGCAGAUAUUGAAGAUGUGACGCAAUAGCAGUGAAAAACAGAUAAGGAAUGAAGAGCGCAGAAAUAGCCGACGGACAGUCGCCAUGGAAACACGGACCUUGUGUGGAGCGUGAGGAGGAGCAGAUAUGCCAGGGCUGUUGUCCCGGAGCUAACAACUGCCGCUUAACUUUACAAUACAAUUCCGAAAAAUCCACUGUUAGAUUGCAGGCUAAAGUGUAUCGGUGAAUUACAGCGGCACGGAGUUAUGCUUCAGUUGUAUCCACUAAGUUAACACAACUGCAUUGACGGAGAGAAUGUUUGGUACGACAGGCAGCACUAUACCAAAGCAGCUACUUAGGGACACAUUUGGUUUGCAUCAUAGCAGGGCACAGCCAGUUGUCAUUAGCUGACAUGCAGUAAGCGGCCAUGACUGCUUGUGUCAUGCUUAUGACAAUACGAAGAUAAAGAAAGUCUCACACUCCAUAUUAUUCUCCCGACAAUUGAAUGGGUAAACAUGACCUUUUCAAUAUCAGGUGGUGCUGUGGCUCAGGCACCAGAGCAUGGCGCUCGCAACACACCAAGGUUCUAAGUUUGAUUCUCGCUGGUGCCACCCAUAUGUAAAAUGUAUGCAAGUCCCUUUGGAUAAAAGUGUCUGCUAAAUGGCAUAUAUUACUAUUGUGUUAGUAUCUCCAACUGGCAUCCAAAUAGACUGGAUUGACUCAAUACAGACAUUAGUGCUCAGUGUGAAAGUCAUAGGCAUUUGAUUUUUGGGUAUAUGAACCUGUUUUUAGUAUGUACUGAGCAUUACGCCAGUUGUUCAUAAUAAAGAAAUUGCAUAUACAGAAUCAUUCAUUCAGCACUUAAGCAUCCAUAUCCAUAAAACAUGUAUCUCUGACAAGGCCAUUCUGAUCUAUUCACUAGUUAUAUCUGUAUAUAACUUGUUGCUUGGAGUCGUCAAACAGCACAUGGAUACAGCAGCAGUAGAUUCUGUUCCUGUCCGGUCUGGUCCAGUCUCACAUGCAGGGGAUGUUCAUAUCAUCUAUAGCCAAGGUUGACCAUUCUUUCCCCAUCUAGUGAUUCCUUUUCAAUACUUUCAAUUCCUUUUCAAUGCUUUCAAUUCCUUUUCAAUGCUUUCAAUUCCUUUUCAAUGCUUUAGGUGGCUGAAUGCUUGACCUUUGACAGUAUAGUCUACAGCCAAUAAGGCUGUGAGAGAUUCAUUUCUAUGUGGAGCUGGUGAUUGGUUUAUUGUGUGUUGUUCUGCCAACUGUCCAUCUAUGGGAGGUUACAGUAUUGGGGGUUUUGUCCCUUCUCUCAUUUUCUGAGAGAAUGCUCCUCAAGUGGUACAUUUAUACGAGACGUAUUUUCAAAAUAACAUGCAAAAAAAAAAAAGAUUUUCACAUCAAAAUUUUACAUGUGCUUAUGGAUUCAAAUGUAAAGAGAGAGAAUGUGAGAGACUGAGGAGUCAAACGGGUGUCUCCAUUAGCAUCCUUCGCAUACCUCUCAAGGAAUACAGCGUACAUUUAUUGAUACCAGAGAUUGUAGUUCAUACAUAAACACCAAUAAAACAUUGCUGUUUUUCCAGUAUCUUGUGCAGUGC
rnacentral:lncRNA from 1 species